UUUUUUUUUUUUAGUAUAUCCUCACUAUUGUUCGUAGGUAUGCUUCCACUGAAAAAUAUAGGUCAUUGUCAGUUCAGAUUUCAUGGGGCAUCCUAUAUUUCGUUGGGUCAGACUGGCAACCCUACUGGCCUGGCAGCCAGCUCAAUGCCCUUGCUUAGAAAGGGCGGACCGUGACGGCUGCCUUGAAUUGGUGUGUUUGGGGCAAAUGUCUUCCUUUAACGUGCAGUUGAGUAAGUGGGUGCUGUUUUCUUCGUCUGACUCUGUUACAUCUCUGCACCGACACCAGCCCCCUGAGAGGUGAGCCUCACCCUGGGGAACCCCCAGACUCCCGUGUUUAACACCCUUCUGACCAGGAGGGCAGGGCCGGGGGCAUCUGUAGGAGAUGGCAAGGCAGCCAGGGUUGAGCACCCUCCUUUCUUCUGCACACAGCACCAGGGCCUUGCCGGAUCCCAAGAGGCCCAAUGCGGACCCCCACACCCAACCCAGAGGGAACGCAUUAUCUAGUCCGAUGCUCUUGCUUUUCAGACUAGGAAACCCAGUUCCAGAAAGAAGGCCACUUGCUAGGGUCAGUGGUGAGUGAUUUGUGAGCUGUGUUUAUUUAUUAUGUAUGUGUUUAUUGGGAUCAGUUUUUAAUAAUUUAGUUUAAUUGAAGAGUAAUAAACAAAUGACUGGCCCUGCACAUGCUUAAUUACCUCUGCUCUGGAGUGAGGCAAGCCUGAGUAUAAUAUAAAAGCUUGCAGGGGGUAAAAGCAUAUAUCAAAUCAAAGCUCUAUGAGAAACUAUGAAAAAUAUUUCCAAUUCGUGUCACAAAGGGCGAAUUUCCUAGACAUAGAAAGAGGGCUUAAAAAUCAAUAUAGACAUUUCUAUUUGAUAGACAUUUCUCCCAAAGGGUGUAUAAAUAGCUAAGGCUCUGGACCGUGCGGAAUCACUAGGGGCAUGCAAAUCAAAGCCACCAAGAGACGCACAUCACACCUACUAGAAUAGCUAUAAUUUAAAAAAUGGAAACUAACAAGUGUUGGAGGGGAUGCAGAGAAAUCCCACCUCAUACACUGCUGGUGAGAAUGUAGAAGAGUGCUGUUGGUUUGGAAAAUGGUUUGGCAAUUCCUCACAAGGGUAAAUAUAGAGUCACUGAAAGACCAAGCCAUCCACCCUGUGCCUCUAGCAGGGAAAUAAAAACACACGCCUACCCCAAAACUUGUCCUUGGCUAUUUAUAGCAGCAUUCUUUAUGACAGUCAAAAAGUGGAGGAGUUCUGCUGUGGCUCAGCAGAUUAAGAGCCCCACUCGUAUCCAUGAGGAUGCGGGUUUGAUCCCUGGCCUCACUCAGUGGGUUAAAGAUCCAGUCUGGUGGUGAGUUGUGGCGUAGGUUGCAGAUAUAGCUUGGAUCCUGCGUUGCUGUGGCUGUGGCAUAGCCCUGCUGCAGCAGUGGCUC
rnacentral:lncRNA from 1 species